ensembl:lncRNA
AGUUCGUGUUACGUAUUUUAGGAACACAAGCUGUAUUUCCCUCACUUAACCAAUAGGGGGUAGGACCAAAUAUAUAAGCAAUAAAUACUACACAUAGCCACAAGGGAAAGCAGGACAUUACUGAAGGCUGCAAUAGAUACUUUAGCCACAGAGGGCAGCAUCACAGACCAGGCGAGGAAAACCGAGGAUUACGUCACACCGGUUCCUCUCCAAGUCUUCCGGUCCUCGCUGAGUCCAUAAAGAAGACCACCUGGCCACGAAAACUUUAGAGCUCUCUCGGCAGCGAUUAGACAUACGUGGGUUUGUGGCUAGGAUCAGCUAGGAGAACACUCUCGCACGUGCUUAGAACACAUCUUCAAUCUCUCUUUACUUCAGAGCAUCAGUUUACCAUACCGAAAAUACUUUAUACAAAUAAAGUCUCUUUAAAGCUAUUCCUUUGGAUUCGACCCCUCCUUCCAUGAAGAAAUACGUAAUAAUUGGUGACCCGGACGUUCCUGGAAGGUCCCGGACCGAGACUAGCGACUGCGGGGCCGUCGGGAGCAGUACAAGCUACUUACAGGCGCCACAAGAAAGCGUGGUCUCAAGACGGCUGCAUAGACCCACAACUAUCGACCUUUGGUUUGGUAUGUACUGGUCUUCAUAUAUCUUCAUAAUGGAUUGGUUUAGGUACAGAUGAUUAAGGAAAGGAACUUCAACUUGGUUGCACUCAGCGUUGUUAGGAUUGGUUAAUUCUAAUGCGCAUAGCUGAAGCAAUGCGCAAGGAGGGAUGUAGUGUGAAUAUUAAAUCAAGGUUGAAGGUUGAAAUCAGCUCAGAAUAAGGAAUGGGACACUCAAAACAAAAAUUUAAAAUCCGCACAAGCACUAAAUAGAUCAAUUAUAAUACAAACAUGUUUGAAACGCAUACAAUUUUCAGGUCCUAUGUUUCCAGAAGCAAGGUGAGUACAGUGUAUCACUCUGACACAGCUAACUUUGCAUCUAAUGCUUACGGUUAGAUUCAUGCUUACACUUACAUUUCUAGGGUCCCAUAAUGGACUUCCAUUAGAACAAUUAAAAAUAGAAUUAUAGGAAAUGUUUUUGAACAACUAACUGCUGUACAUGAGUUUGUAUUUCUACAAUAGAAACAAAAGUUCCAGAACCAAAUGCAGACACACCCGAGCCGAUAAACUGCCUCCGCCGAGCAAGGAGCAGUCACAUGAGGAGAUCAAAUAACGGCAGGAGUUGAAUUGGUUCUGUUUUGCUUGUCCACCAUAUAAAAAUUAUGUAUAUAUAUAUUGUUUAGAUAAAUUACAUGUAUCAUAAUCAGCAACACUUCGUUCAGUUUAACAGAUAAAGUUAAAAGGAAUAUGUAUAUAUAUGGAAAUGUUAUUGACAGAGCAAGGAGGGAUAAAUGCGAUAGGCACAACGUGUUGUAGGCCAACUUUAUCCCCAAUAACACAGCUCUGGAUGGGUUGCUGGCAUAAUUACAAUCCCUCAGGUUAGAAUUGGCAGAGAACUCCGGCAUUAAUGACCAUUUCACAGGUUGGAUGGAGAAUAUGUUUGGGAGGUGGAAAAGCAUGAUCCAGUAAGUGCCCGUUGCGGGAAUAAAUGCAGAGACCGUGUUAAUUGUCACCGGCUGCCGUUGUAUUCCCUGUGCACGAGGGCUACUGCAUCUGCUGAUCCCCACAGCAGUAGGCGCUACAGAAGCCCCAAGUGCCAUUCAGGCUUACAUGGGGAUCAGAUAUGAUCCGAUGAAAGUGAAUGAUACAUCACCUGAGAGGCCCGACCAUAUCCAGCUGUAAUAUGUAGAAUAGUCAACACCUAUACUAUUCUAGUAGAAGUGCCUGUAUAUAAGAUAAUCAAUAUCCCGGAUUUACUUGAAUAACACAUUUCUAACAACCAUACAGGCUGUUUGUUAUUGUAUAGUGUUGCAAAUGCAACCCGUUAUUUCUGAAUCGCUGCAUUGAUAAUGGUACUGUUGAUCUUUGAGACGGUUGUUUACAGGCCACCUGUUGCUGACACGACGACGGAGAACCUGUGAGGAGGCUCCCAUGGUGUAGGAGUAACCUCUCUGAGAUGAGCCCUUGACAAGGAGGGACGAGUCUUGGGUUCAUGAAUUACAAACCCGACGGCGACAGUAAAAACAAUGACUACAAUAAUAACAUCGCCCAAAACCACCCACAGGAACCGGCACACUAAUACACGAAGAUCACUUGAACUCCCCAAAUCCAUGCCCAAACCACCCACAUGAACCGGCGCACCAAUACACGAAGAUCACCUGAACCCCCCAAAUCCAUGUUAGCUUAUCAAUCCUUUUGAAAUUUUAAAAAUUGUAUUAUGACCACCAAUUUUUACGUUACUUUUGCACCUGUUGAAUAUUUUAUGACCUUGUAGCACAUGACCAAAAGUAUUAGCUCAGGAUUUCUAUUGAUGGUUUUGUUUGUGUGCUGUUUGGCCAUGUGAUUGUAUGAUAACAAGAUUCAUGUUCAUUGUUGUAUUGUUAAAUAAUGACCUGUAUUUUCAACAAGACCCACAACGUGAAUGCCGUCUCAGUAUUAUGGGGACGCGUAGUGGUUUUUCCCCUCUCUUCAAGAGGUCUUUCCGCGACGGUUGAUGGUGUUGAUGAUUGAUCCUACUUUGACUAUGUUUUCGGUGUGGUAAAUGGUGUUUAUGAUUUAAAAUAUUAUUGUAUGGUCAUCUAAGAUGACCAAGGAGGGACUGUUACGUAUUUUAAGAAUCUAAGCCACCCACACAUAGACCCAAUGAUGCAGGACCAAACAUAUAAGCUGCGUUACCCUCACAUAGCCACAAGGGGAGCAUGAUGUUAUUGAAGGCUGCUCCCUCUUCACCUUUAAUUAAGUGAAGAAGCCGAAGCCAUAACGUCACCCCGGCCACGCCCACUAGGCAACGCCCACUUCAUAGGCCACACCCACUGGACGUCCUGUACGGAGGACGUCGAGUGAACAGGCCAGAGUUCAAUAGGUAGACGGCGCAGCAAGCCACCCGGGCCUUAGCCCGGGGGGCUUGAAGUAGAUCACGGUAUUUUCCUCUCACUCGCGUUAGAAACAAUUCCCUCCGUAUAGCUUCAGUUACCAUACCGAAACAUGCCGACGACUUUAUAAUAAAUGAAGUGAGUUAAAGCAACCCGGGAUUGGACAACUUUCUUCGAGAAUAUGCAAUAUUCGUAAC